CUGUGAAUAUUCUCAAUGUUCUGAUUAUGUGAUAGUCAGGAUAGGCUAAAUAUUUGCUACAUUAAGAACAUGCUUAUGGCCGGGCGCGGUGGCUCAAG
rnacentral:snoRNA from 1 species